rnacentral:rRNA from 1 species
GACGAACGCUGGCGGCGUGCUUAACACAUGCAAGUCGAACGGAAAGGCCCUGCUUUUGUGGGGUACUCGAGUGGCGAACGGGUGAGUAACACGUGAGUAACCUGCCCUUGACUUUGGGAUAACUUCAGGAAACUGGGGCUAAUACCGGAUAGGAGCUCCUGCUGCAUGGUGGGGGUUGGAAAGUUUCGGCGGUUGGGGAUGGACUCGCGGCUUAUCAGCUUGUUGGUGGGGUAGUGGCUUACCAAGGCUUUGACGGGUAGCCGGCCUGAGAGGGUGACCGGCCACAUUGGGACUGAGAUACGGCCCAGACUCCUACGGGAGGCAGCAGUGGGGAAUAUUGCACAAUGGGCGGAAGCCUGAUGCAGCAACGCCGCGUGCGGGAUGACGGCCUUCGGGUUGUAAACCGCAUUCGCCUGUGACGAAGCGUGAGUGACGGUAAUGGGUAAAGAAGCACCGGCUAACUACGUG